UCGAGAAUCUUUUGCAAUGGGCGAAAGCCUGACAAUGCGACGCCGCGUGAGCGAUGAAGGCCUUCGGGUCGUAAAGCUCUGUUUGCCUGAAAGAAAUCUGGCGGUAGAAUAUACCAAAAGGAUGACGGUACGGGCAGAGGAAGCCACGGCUAACUCCGUGCCAGCAGCCGCGGUAAUACGGAGGUGGCGAGCGUUGUUCGGAAUUAUUGGGUGUAAAGGGCAUGUAGGUGGUUGCGUAAGUCGAAUGUGAAAUCCUUUGGCUCAACCAAAGAACUGCAUUCGAAACUGCGUGGCUUGAGUUCGGGAGAGGAGAGUGGAAUUCCCGGUGUAAGAGUGAAAUCUGUAGAUAUCGGGAGGAAUACCAGUGGCGAAGGCGACUCUCUAGACCGAUACUGACACU
rnacentral:rRNA from 1 species